GAUGAACGCUGGCGGCGUGCCUAAUACAUGCAAGUCGAGCGAACGGACGAGAAGCUUGCUUUUCUGAUGUUAGCGGCGGACGGGUGAGUAACACGUGGAUAACCUACCUAUAAGACUGGGAUAACUUCGGGAAACCGGAGCUAAUACCGGAUAAUAUUUUGAACCGCAUGGUUCAAAAGUGAAAGACGGUCUUGCUGUCACUUAUAGAUGGAUCCGCGCUGCAUUAGCUAGUUGGUAAGGUAACGGCUUACCAAGGCAACGAUGCAUAGCCGACCUGAGAGGGUGAUCAGCCACACUGGAACUGAGACACGGUCCAGACUCCUACGGGAGGCAGCAGUAGGGAAUCUUCCGCAAUGGGCGAAAGCCUGACGGGGCAACGCCGCGUGAGUGAUGAAGGUCUUCGGAUCGUAAAACUCUGUUAUUAGGGAAGAACAUAUGUGUAAGUAACUGUGCACAUCUUGACGGUACCUAAUCAGAAAGCCACGGCUAACUACGUG
rnacentral:rRNA from 1 species